UGCACUACAUGUUAUCUGCAUGCAGCAGUUUAUUCCUGCUGGGGUGUUCAAAGAACAGUGCCAUAGAAAUUCAGUAUCUGGCUGGGUGCGGUGGCUCGUGUCUAUAAUCCCAGCA
rnacentral:snoRNA from 1 species